rnacentral:rRNA from 1 species
AGCGAACGCUGGCGGCAGGCCUAACACAUGCAAGUCGAACGAAGUCUUCGGACUUAGUGGCGGACGGGUGAGUAACACGUGGGAACGUACCUUUUGGUUCGGAACAACUCAGGGAAACUUGAAUUAAUACCGUAUGUGCCCUUCGGGGGAAAGAUUUAUCGCCAUUGGAUGAACCCGCGUCGGAUUAGCUAGUUGGUGAGGUAAAGGCUCACCAAGGCGACGAUCCGUAGCUGGUCUGAGAGGAUGAUCAGCCACACUGGGACUGAGACACGGCCCAGACUCCUACGGGAGGCAGCAGUGGGGAAUAUUGGACAAUGGGCGCAAGCCUGACGCAGCCAUGCCGCGUGGAUGAUGAAGGUCUUAGGAUUGUAAAAUCCUUUCACCGGUGAAGAUAAUGACUGUAGCCGGAGAAGAAGCCCCGGCUAACUUCGUGCCAGCCGCCGCAGUAAUAC